GUUUUGAUGAUUUGUUUGUAUAAUGGAAAAAUAUACAGUAAAACAAAAAACGUAAUUCGUUUUCAUCUUUUCAUUGUGCUAUGUUUUUUUAACGUUUUUCAAAUAAAGGGAGUAAUUCAUCUAACUUGAGCACUUUGGUGGAAACCAAUGAAGAAGAUGAGGGUGGUGAGAACAUGGAAUUAGGCAAGACUCCAAUACCAACAACAUCCACCCUAUAACAAUGCGAAGAAUCAAGAACAUUAAAAAAAAUGACCAAAGACUCAAGGAGAGAUGAAAAAUGAUGUUCAACAACUUCAUGUUGAGGUUAUCCAACUGGAAGAACGUAGUUUCACUGUCGUAUGGUUUUACAAAAAGAGCCAAUGUUUGGAUUAAAUUUAAGUAAAUGUAACUUAAAUCAUAUUUGCUUGAGUAAGUUGUUAUGAAAUUUAGGUAAAUAUCCAUAUUAUGCUUUCAGAGCUUUUUAAUUAAAAAUUGGAAAAAUUA